rnacentral:rRNA from 1 species
UACGUAGGGUGCGAGCGUUGUCCGGAAUUAUUGGGCGUAAAGAGCUUGUAGGCGGUCUGUCGCGUCUGCUGUGAAAAUCCGGGGCUCAACCCCGGACUUGCAGUGGGUACGGGCAGACUAGAGUGUGGUAGGGGAGACUGGAAUUCCUGGUGUAGCGGUGAAAUGCGCAGAUAUCAGGAGGAACACCGAUGGCGAAGGCAGGUCUCUGGGCCACUACUGACGCUGAGGCACGAAAGUGUGGGGAUCAAACAGG